GUCGGAAACUUGCAGCUCCCGCGCCACCCCCUUCGUCUCCCGGGAGAGCGGGCCCCCGGCGACCUAACCCGGGAGCCGUCAGACCUCCCCGGGCGUGGUCGGCCGCUCCGGGCCUCGGAGUUGGGCGGGGUCUGCGCUGCAGCGUCGUGGGUUCUCUCCGGCACAAUGUGCCGGUGCGCGGAGAGAAAAACAAAACAAAACAAAACCCAGAAACACACUCCUAAAGUGUCACCGGCAUUUGUGGAGUGGCGGGGGUCUACACUGAGCGUAUGUGCCUGGAGACGCUGGGGGGAGGGCACUGCGGCCAAGGGCAGGGCAGGGCAGGGCAGGGCAGGAGGACCGUGAAGGCCCGCUGGCCGCAGGGGAGCCCUUCCUCCCCGGGUUCCGCGGCCGGGAGCACCCCAAGCCGUGGCUAAAGGGGCCGCUCGGCUCUCCUGCACCCCGCGAGCCCCCCUCCCCCGCCUUCCCUGUGUCCCCCGGCUUUUCCAGGAGGAAGGUGGGGUGCCCAGCGGGGGCGGGGCGCGCCGGGCCGCCGGGCCGGGCUGUCACGUGCCCCCCUCCCCCGCCACUGCGGCGGGAGUUCCAAUCAGAGCGCGCCAGGGGGCUCCUCCUGGGCAGGAACCACCCGGCUUGGCGGCGGAGGGUGGGCCGCCGUCACCUGACCGCCCGCCCCCGCCCCCCGCGAGUAAGGGGCGGUGGUAGCGUCUGCUCGGUUACAAAUGGCCCCUCCCGCCCCGCUCGCCCGCUCGCUCGGGCUCGGCGCGGACCCGCCCGGGCGCGCUCCUCGCGCCGGUUCCCGGCGUCCCGCCGCCCUGCCGGGAACCGGCCAGCGGCCCCCGCCACCCCUAAGGGUGCUGCCGACACCCGGUGCAGAGGCUCGCCGGCGGAGGUCGCUACGGGAGGCUGGACCGCGGAGGCGCGCGGCUCUCCCACCCGCAGGUCUUUCCUUGAUACGGUGAAAGGAGACUGCUCUUCUGCCUGAGAGUGGUUCAAAAC
rnacentral:lncRNA from 1 species